AGCAUCAACCACAAAUCCUACUCUUGAUCAUGGGCCAAAGUUAACACAGUCAUACGUCGUAUACAGAUAGUCGUU
rnacentral:sRNA from 1 species